GACCGAGCAUUCAACGAUCCGCACAGCGAUAGAGACACAAUCACUCCCCACCUUUGCCGUCGCCGCACAACACACGCACGUCUUCAGCGUUGCCGUUGUUACCGCUCGAUCAGAAAAACGCUAUCAUGUGGCGGCGCAGCGCACCCCAGCUGGCGCUGGCCCUACGGCACAGUGGAGUCGCAAUGACCCCUCGGCCAUCCUCCACCUCCGGCAGAGGUAGCAGCAGCGAUAUCGGCAGUGGAUGGGCGCUUCCAAAGCAGAUCGCCAGCUGGUAUCCUCGCAAGGGAGGCGAGUUCCUUGCCAACACGAUAGCUGGCCACAACGCCUUCAUACAGGACAUUCCCACUCGCUUCGACGAGGUGCACGCCCGGCACUUUUCUCUUGUCGAGGGACUCGCAAUCACCCCGCUCUACACGCUAGCCAUGGUCCACUACUUCUCCAUCUUCUGUCAGUACCCGGCCCGCAUCGCGGUGCUGAAGCCGAUUUUGGAAGAGCUGCGGCAGAAGAGUGAACUGCAGCACCACUGGCUGCUCAUCAUGCAGGCGAAGAGGGCGCCGAGGGAGAUCAUCGCGUGGCGUUGCGGGAUUCUCACCUUGCAGGUCGUGCUCUUUCCGAUUUGGCUCUUUCUCUCAUCCGCGGCGCCACAACUGGUGCACGCCACGAUCGCCUUCUCCAACCACAUCCUCCACACAAAGUACAGCUGCCUGAAGGCCAGCGGCAGCAGCGCCGCUAGUGGCCGGGCGGCGGUGGUGCCCGAGUUUGUGUCGAAGGCGGCAGACAUGUACGCAGCAACGGAGACCUUCCACGAGGCGCAGAGCGUCACCUUGCCAACGGACUUUGGGGUAGCUAUCGUGAUGCUGCUGCUGAUUCUCUUCUUCGCAGCGUGAGGUGGGGCACUGUGGGCGAGGGAAGACGCACAGUCUGGCAUUGCGUAGUUUUCUUUCUUUCCUUGUUUUCGGCAGAGGCGUGCCUGCAAUCUUGGAAGGUAAUAGGGGGCGCGGGCAGCGACUCUAUGGCACGGCCUGCGCACGCUUACACAUGCAUUCCUAUGUGUGCGUGACGUUGAGCCGAGUUGCUGAUCGCCAAACCUUGCCCCUCCAUCGCUGCUCCGUUUCACGUCACGUUCACAGUCGCACAGUAUUGGAGCGCCGAGAGCGAGAGAGGCGAAAGGGGGGGGAGGGCUUUUGAUGGAGCACCAGCGCCGCACGUGAGCUUGCUCUUUGGUGCACGAAGAUAGGCGCUCAUGCGCGCGCACUUGCCUGCCACAGCUCUGCGCAGCAGAUCAACUUCGCAAUCGGCACACCCACGCGCGAUGGCCGAGCCGCGAGGCGGCGGCACCGCGUGAACGCUAACGAAGUCGCCGCCUUUGCCACCUUCGAGUUUACGGGCUGCCCUUUGCGCUGCACCGCUUCGCCCCGCCGUCGCUCAUCACCGCGAUGUGAAGGAGGGUGAGCGAGAGGGGGGGGCGGGGAGGAGGAGGGAGCCUCAGUGUGCUUGGCGGAGGGCCGUAUCGCUUCUAAAAGCGUUGCCCAAAUCUUUCACUACCCUGCGAGCUAACGAUGGUUGAUCAUCGACGGCAGUCGCCUCUCCUUUCCUUUGCUGUCUUUAGACCUCGCCUCUUCAUUCUCACGACACUGGUGCGUCUUGACGCCUGCGUUGUGCGGCUGCCUUUACCGUUGCUUCGACUGCAGCGUGGCAUGUGUACGUCUCUGCACCGCACCCCAUCUCAUCGCACGCCUCUUCUCUUUUCCCCGCCUGCCCUUUCUCUCUCCUUCAACUCACACGUGCACGCACUCUUCUCUUUAAUGGCCAACAGCCCCCCCCCCCCCCCCCCACCUCUUCCUUUUCCCUUCUCUUCUCAUUCCCCAUUCAAGCUAAGGUGCGCUCACAGACAUACUCGCACGUUGGUGUGCCUGCUCCGUACGACGCCUCGCUUCCAUUCACGAAUCCGACGCUCUUUUGGCACUUCUUUCCUCGUCUCUCUCUCCUUAUUUUGUUCGGUACUUUCGCAUUCUUUCGCCUUUGGUUUGUGCUGCGCUCUCUCCGCCGGCCCCACACGUGCGUGCGUAAAAAAAAACCUGUUUCCUGUCGACGCUGGAAGCAGACAGAGAGAGAGCGACGGAGCACAAAGGCAAGCGAAAAAGUAAAAAUAAACAAACAGGUAAACAGUAACGCAGCAACCUUCACAACCAGCCGGACUACAUCACACAAGUCGAGAGACACAUAGACAUCCUCGCACGCACUCUGCGUGGAUUUCAGCCCUCUCUUCUUCUUUCUUUUCUCGUAUCUCUCUUCCCACUUUCUCAAUCCCCCUCCUCCCACCCCCACACACGUAAAUUUCGCAGGGGCUUUCGUGCUUCCUACUCGCCCUCCGGAUUUCCUGCACGCUGCGUCCGGUGCCCGGACGAUCGCUGGUGCCUUGCGCGUGUUUGCGCUCUUUGAUCGAAAAACGUUCUCUCCUUUCGCACGGUAGGCUGCUCCGUUCUUGAUUGACGUAGUCUUCCUCCCACCCCCUCCCUCCUUCCUUUCUCACGGGUGCACCGCGCUGCGGCUCCUAAAUUGUUUGCCGGUCUUCGCUCUCUCUGUCUCUCGGAGGCGUUGCCUAUUCUUUCUUUCCCUAGUUCUUGUCCGUUUCGUACCCGCUCCCAUUCCCCUUCACCCAACAACGUCUCUCGCCAGUUGCCCCGCAACUUUUUUUGUGUUCCUGCUUCUUAGCUGACGCUUGUUCUCUGUGCGUUGUCCUACUGGGCACGGCUCACUGUACGCAUUCUUAUUUCUUUCCUCUUUUCCCACCACCCCUCUUCUUGUCGCCUUCCUUUUCAUCUUUCCCUGUGGUUCACUCCCCCUCUCUAUCCGUGUGUGUGUGUGUGUGCCUGUCCAUGCCUGUCUAAGCGUUGUUGUCUUGUUGCGCUUGCUUGUAUAGGUGCGCACUCCUCCUCGUUCACUUUUUUGUUUUGCCUUUUUCGGUUUUCUUGGUCUUCGUCUUUUUCCAUCGCCCCUCUUUCACGUGGCCACAGUCCGAGACCCCCCCCCACCCCACUUCCACUUCCACUUCGACCUCGACCUUCUCCCGCGUUCAGUGGGCUGGCAGGUACUUCCUACCUUUCAGCUCCACGAUCUUACCUUCUCCCUCGAAAAAGCAGCCGAACAGCGGCGAUUGGACACCUCUUGGGACCAACGCCCGCCUGCGCAACAGCGACCGCGCAGCUCGUUUCUAUCGUCGUCUUACCCCUCGUCAUCCGCCGCGUGUGGCCGUGAGUGCUGCGGCGCAUUCGUGAGUCCGCGUCCACUUUGCCUCGGCGCGCUCCCUCCCCUCGCUUUCCCCUUCUUGUGCGACCCGCGCGUGAGGCGACGAACACUCUUCUCCUUUCACGAACGCGCGCGCCACUGCGUGUGUCCGCAGCGCCACAAGAAGACGAGAGACGCAGAAAAACGGAAGGACGGGCGGCUGCGCGCUCCUUUUUUUCCUUGCUGGCAUGCCUUUUCCUCUUCCCCUGCCAACGCCUUUGGACGUGCGCUACCUUCCCUUGGCUGGCCGCGACGUGGUCGGCGCACUGCUGUACCGUGUGCGUCUACGGCUGCUUCGCACCAGACGACGGGCGCCCGUGGCAGGAGGGGCCGGAGGUGCAUGUGUGUGUGUGUCAGAGGUGGCGGUGUAGGGUGUGGUGUUUGGCCUCGCCUGGUGCACGGCAGACAGUGAAGCACAGAACACAU
rnacentral:misc_RNA from 1 species